CAACGCAUACUGGUGUUUAGCUUGGGACUUAGGGUUUUACUACUUUUGUGGGCUUCACUCUCUGUAUCUUGGUCUCUGUAGAGAUGACGAAGUUCAGGAAGCUCGCAUAUUGACGGGUCAACGUAUGUCAAUGUUCAGCUACGAUUGGCUGUGUGUACAACAACGGUUUCCCAGCUGGUUAAGAUCGAGCGCAUCGAAACCACUGUUGCCAAGUUAAGUGCUCAUGUCAUAUUACAGAGACAGAGCUGGUGGUUAUACAAGAUUGCUUUGAACUCGCAUAUGAGUUGGUGAUGCUGCACCAAUGGCCUGUAUUGAGUUUGUUGAUAGAGAAAACGAGCUUAGACAGUCAAAGCCACCUACUCCUCAACCUCCACAAAGAGCUUCCGGGGACAAGAUCCCGGCUUACAAGGAACAUUACAUCUCUAAAGAGGAAAAUGGCUCUUAGCUGGUUGGUUGAAUUACUCUUUUGGGCCUGUCUUAUUAUGUUCUGGUUAUUGUCCUUGUUUGUAAUUUCCUUCAAGGUCUUUAUUGUCUUUUCUGAUAUGUGAUAUGUCUUGUAGGGUUUGUUGUGUUUUAGGGGGUAGUAGCUGCUGGUUGUAUUUAUCUGUUGAAAAACUGAUGUAUGUGAUGAACUUGGUUAAGGUGUUGAAUGUUGAAAUCAGGAUGGAUGAUAUUUUGUGUGUGA